rnacentral:rRNA from 1 species
GCCAGCCCGCUCAGAAACUUAAAGGAAGUUGACGGGGCCCGCACAGGCGGAGGAGCAUGUGGUUAAUUCGAUGAUACGCGAGGAACCUUACCUGGGCUCGAACGUAAGAUGACUGUAGGUGAAAGCUUACAUCUCUUCGGAGCAUUUUACGAGGUGCUGCAUGGUUGUCGUCAGCUCGUGCCGUGAGGUGUCGGGUUAAGUCCCAUAACGAGCGCAACCCCUACCUUUAGUUGCCAUCAGGUUAAGCUGGGGACUCUAAAGGAACUGCCUACGCAAGUAGUGAGGAAGGCGGGGAUGACGUCAAAUCAGCACGGCCCUUACGUCCAGGGCUACACACGUGCUACAAUGGCCGAUACAGAGGGCAGCUACCUGGUGACAGGAUGCAAAUCUCCAAAGUCGGUCUCAGUUCGGAUCGGAGUCUGCAACCCGACUCCGUGAAGUUGGAUUCGCUAGUAAUCGCGCAUCAGCCAUGGCGCGGUGAAUACGUUCCCGGGCCUU